rfam:Schistosoma rodhaini strain Burundi genome assembly, scaffold: SROB_scaffold0002419
AUCCAGCUGACGAGUCCCAAACAGGACGAAACACACAUUUGGGAU